UACGAAAGGUGCAAGUGUUGUUCGGAUUUACUGGGCGUAAAGAGAGUGUAGGUGGUUUAUUAAGUCGGAUGUGAAAUCCCGGGGCUCAACCUCGGAACUGCAUUCGAUACUGAUAGGCUAGAGUUUGGGAGGGGUAAGCGGAAUUCCGUGUGUAGCAGUGAAAUGCGUAGAUAUACGGAGGAACACCUGAGGCGAAGGCGGCUUACUGGACCAAUACUGACACUGAGACUCGAAAGCGUGGGUAGCAAACAGGAUUAGAAACCCUGGUAGUCC
rnacentral:rRNA from 1 species